GCUACUGCUACUACUGUAUAAGCAGGGAGGGAGAGGGAGAGUGAUGGAUGGUUAUACCGUGCAUCUGGCCAUGGCAGCGCUGGUGGGGGCUUCACUGGUGGCGGGAUCUGCGNUGCGUAUUAUAUGCACCGCAAAACCCUAACACAGUUGCUAGAGUUUGCCAAGACGGUUGAGAGAGAAAGAGAGAGGGAGAGGGAAUAUAACUCCGAUGUAGACUCGCCACAGCAUUUGAAGAAGCGCCGUAGCCAUGGACGGAGGAAGGGGAACGGCUAUUACCG
rnacentral:misc_RNA from 1 species